rnacentral:lncRNA from 1 species
UGAUCUUUCCGGCUACCUACGACCGAGUCCCGUUUAUGGUCUCUCAGACUUGUUGUCUUCUCCUCUUUACUGUAUCACUGGUCUCUCAAAUUUCUUGCUAACUUUAGAAUCGAACCUAACCCAAAACCCACACAGGUUCAAUCAAAUGAACCAUAGAAAGAAAAUAACGCAAAGAUUUACCUCGUUACCCAAUUCCUCAAAGCAGUUCUUGAGGUACGACGAUUUCUGAAAAUCCACAACUAUAGCUCCGUCGUCAUCCGAGCAGAAGACCGCCGAAUCGAAUUUCCAGAUUUCGGUCUACCUCUUCAUAUCUUCAGAUCUGUAAUCCACUUUCAUGUAAUUGAGUAAUUCUCCCGCCUCGCAAGUAUACCCGAUGCAAAGCUUCUUCAACACACCUCUUCACUGUUCAGAAAGCUUCUCCAAUCGCGGAGGGAGAAUUACCAACAGUCAUGCACAACACACGCUAAAAGCUUCUCCACCCGCUGCUUGACACAUGCUCUAGAGAGCCGCAGUACUCAAGGUACUGCGUACAAGUAAGUAAGUAACAAAGUUACAUUAAACGAUGUGUUUUGUUUCUUUUUUCUUUUUAUCUUUUUGUAAAUCAUUUUAUAAAAUAAAACAAAUGAAAAUUCAGUAUAGCUGGAAAUGAAACAAGUGAUGUGUGACUGGUAAAACUAUGGGCCAACUCAGUCUCGACUUCUGACGCUGUGUUACUUAUGUAGUAACAACAGAGGAGCACGACCAAAGAAUUCGAUCUUCCUUCCCGUGAUCCCGAAAGGAGGUGGAAACAGAGAGUAUGACACUCUAUUCGUCCCACCUGCAACAAAACAUAGAUCUCAUUUGUUCCCUCUUUGUUGAAAAGAAAAGUUAGUAUAACACAAAGAACAUCAAAUAUGUCAGAAAUCAAGCAAAAAUGGUAAUAGACUAAAACAAAUGAUAUAGUUUUCAGAGAUAUAGCUAGGGCUAUUGGAUACAUUAGUUUGAUGAUGAGACCUGUUUUUUAGUUCUCACUGUUUGGUAUUUUGACGAAGAGAUCAUCUUCUCAUCCCUAGGAAACCGAAUUUACACAACAAACGAAAGUUUGAAUCACCUCGUUAUAUAGAUUCCAAAACUUUAAGCAUUGAUGGAGUCAAACAUUAUUAUGAAAUUUCUCAAUGCUUACCUGCAAAAAAUUGA